AAGUUGUUGUAGUUAAAAAGCUUGUAGUUGGACCUUGAGUUGGGUUGACCGGUCCGCCUCAUGGUGUGCACCGAUUGGCUCAUCCCUUCUACCGGUGAUACGCUCCUAGCCUUAACUAGUCGGGUUAUCCUUCCGAUGCUGUUACUUUGAAGAAAUUAGAGUGCUCAAAGCAAGCCUACGCUCUGUUUAUAUUAGCAUGAGAUAACAUCAUAGGAUUCCGGUCCUAUUGUGUUGGCCUAUGGAAUCGGAGUAAUGAUUAACAGGAACAGUCGGGGGAAUGCCUAUUUUAUAGUUAGAAAUGAAAUUCUUGGAUUUAUGAAAGACAAACAACUGCGAAAGUUAACCACCCGCGGUGGUGGCGUAGGUGGUUGAGCAAGGGAACUUUUCA
rnacentral:ncRNA from 1 species